GCAGAAAGAAGGCGACAGCUGGCAGAGAAAUACGCGCUGACUCUGCAUCCCAAGGCCGACUCUGAGUAUCCCGCUAUACCAAGUCCAGGAAGGAGCCUGAUGCUGUCGAGAAACGAGGAGGAAAAAGUGACAAACAGGAAGAGUCAAGCAGAGAUGCGAGUUCUCCGUACCCCAGGACCGAGACAAUGGGGCUCAGGACCUGUGCAGGUGAAUCCAAGGACUAUGCCCUCCGUGGGGGUGACGGUGCUUCCGACCCGGAGGUGCUGCUGAACGUAGAAAACCAAAGACGAGGUCAAGAGCUGAGUGCCACCCGGCAGGCCCAUGACCUGUCCCCAGCAGCAGAGAGUUCCUCAACCUUCUCUUUGUCUGGGCGAGACUCCUCCUUCACCGAAGUGCCACGGUCCCCAAAGCACGUGCACAGCUCCUCCCUGCAGCAGGCGGCCCCCCGGAGCCCCUCCUUCGGUGACCCACAGCUAUCCCCUGAGGCCCGACCCAGUACAGGGAAACCCAAACAUGACUGGUUUCUCCAGAAAGAUUCCGAAGGGGACACACCUUCACUUAUCACCUGGCCGUCCAGCAAAUCACGGGUGGAGAGGUCGGCCGAAGGACCUGGCUUGCCCACCAGUGUGGAACGGGAGAGAGGGUCCCGGAAACCAAGACGCUAUUUUUCUCCUGGUGAAAGUAGAAAAACUUCCGAGAGAUUUGCAACCCAACCUGUAACUUCAGAAGAACGAAAGGAAUCAGAUAGGUGCACUUCACAUUCAGAAAUGCCAACUAUUGAUGGCAAGUACCUGUUUCCCUGUUUUUCAUUUGUCUUUAUUAUCUCAUCUAGACUGGAUUUAAUAAUAAGGUUUUUGGCUUUUUGAGAGAAUAACAUGAUGGAGCAUCUUGUCUCCCUUUGCUGCAGGUUUUCAUUCUGUGAAUAUAAUAAAAUCUAGUUGAAAAUUUUCAGAUGAGGUUUCCC
rnacentral:lncRNA from 10 species